CUCUCCACACUUUAGACUAAAGUCGAGGAUUGGGACCUGUUGUCCCUGCACCUCUGUCAUCCUCAGUGCUUGGAUCUGCCAAAUUGAAGCACAGCAGUGAUGGGUAAGUAAAUCAGUUCACUCAAAUGAAUAAUGAAAAUUCUGUCACCGUUUACUCGCUCUUUAUUUAUUUCAAACCUGUUCAAAUCUUCUGUUGAACACUAAAGAAUAUUUUUUGAAGAAUGCUGAAGACUAGUAACCAUUGACUUCUAAAGUAUUUGUUUUUGCUACUGUGAAAAUCAAUGAUUACAGCCCAGCAAGCAAUAGCCGUCAUUUCACCGGCUAGGUGAAGUAUAGACCAGAUCUAGCCCGGCUACGUGUAACCCAAUUUUAGCCCGAAUAACCUUAAAUUUGGUUGCAUGUUGUUUUUCUGCUAAAUAAAGCUUGUGAUACGUAUAAUACUUCGUCAUGCAAGAAAGGUCAAUAACAUUUAUGAGGUUCCUGCGAGUAAUAGACGUAGUUUCAGUUUCUCUGUGAAAAAUAGACCCAAUCUAGUCUGGCUAUGUGUAACCCAUCUCUAGCCCAAAAAAAAAAUUAAAUUUGCUUACCUGUCAUUUUUUGGCAAAAUACCUUGUAAUAUGUAUGAUAUUCCAUUAAAGGGCACAUCGGUUACCCCUUUUUUCAUAUUUAAUAUAAGUCUUUUGUGUCCCCAGAAUGUGUCUGUAAAGUUUCAGCUCAAAACAACCAUCAGAUUAUUUAUUAUAGCUGUUUGAAGUGUCUAUAUUAUAGCUGGAAAAAAGGUUUUGCUGUUUUUUUGUACUGGCCCUUUAAGGCUAGUCCUCCCCGCCCACCGUUCCCACGUGCCUGUCAGCAAUAGCCGCCCUCGGCUGCCUCAGGAAGCAGAUCUUACAUAACGUGUGUGAGAAAUACUACAGUAAGAACUUUAACAAUCAGUAUUUGAUGCAUUUUUUUUGUGGAUUUGCAACAAUGAGUCACACACAAUGUCAUUACAAAGUUCACGCACACACACAGCAAGGACACAAACACAUAGCGCACACACAUACACACACACACACACAAAUGUAGCGUAGACAUACACACACACAUAGCAUAGAGAGAGAGAGAGAGAGCGAGUUAAGCUUUGCACUCGUUUUGCACGCAUAUGUGACAUGAUACUGGUAAUCUCCACUGCUGUAUAAAUAUCUCUUAUAUUAAUGUACAAAAUAAACCUGAUUUAACGUCCACAAACCACGAUUAAAGCGUCUUUCUUUAUAAUUGUUCUGACACGCAGCUGUGCUGAUUAAGUGAAUCUGAAGUGAAUCGCUAUAAUUCAUUACACUCGUGCUCUAUUUUAAAACAUGUUAAACUUGUAAAACUCACUCUUGAUCACGUUUGAUGAUGAUUGAUGACUCUAGCGAACUGAACAGACCUUUUAUUCCCGGCUACUUUGCGCACGUCCAUUCUUGAUGAUAUGAUUAUACACGUGACUACUGGGACAUGUUAAUGCGCACAGCUGUCAAUCAAUAUUGGUGGGCGGGGACCGCACUCCUACGUAAAGUUGCGGUCGAUCUGAAAACAGCUCCAAUUGGUCCACCGUUUUUAUGUUGUUAAAUUUGAAAAAAAAGGACUGGGUGUGUUUAUUUCAGCCCAAUAUGACAGUUUAUACACUAUACUUACACACAUUUCUGUCCAAACAGCUUGAAAAGUAGAUUUUUCACCAUAGAUGCCCUUUAAUAUAAUGAUGUAUAUUUAGCCGCAAAAUCACACAUGAGCUCCAACCCAGUCUCAUGGCAGUUCGGUAAAUAGUCACGAAAUUUAAUCUAUUGAUUCGUGUUCAUGGGCACGAAUUUCUCUUCUUUUUCCAUGUCACCCUGCAAGAAUUUCCAUCCAAUGUAUUUCAAUGGAAAAUCAUUUUCGUGUCUCUAGCACAAUUUAUUUUGUCAUAGGGUACCCGAUGCUGCGCUUUUUAAAAAUAAUUUUUAUUAAAUAUUAUUAUAGCCACAGGGUAGCAGACGCAGUAUUUUGAUUAUUGUUAUUGACACGGUACCAGACGCAGUAUUUUUUUUAUUAUUUUUUAAUUUUAUUUCAUUUUUUCCAUAGGAUAGCAGACGCUGUUUUGAUUAUUUAUUGUUUUUUUAUUUUAUUUUUGCCACAGGGUAUGCAGUAUUUAUUUAUUUAUUUAUUCUAUUGCCAUAGGGUACCAGACGCUGUUUUUUAGCUGUUUUUAUUGCUUUUUUCCUGUAAUUGGGGUAAUUUUUUUAAGAUCCACCCGGUAAAACCAAAACAGCAGUAAUUUUGGACACACACAUUUUUUACAUAAUAAAAAAAUAUAUAUACAUAUUCUGCCUUAUUCUCUGAUAAAAAUCGGAGGGAAAGAUUACAUUCUGUGUUUUUAUGAGCAUUACCCAUCAUCCUCCGCCUCAUGGGUCAUUCCGCGCAUUAAUUCAUCUCAUCAUUGCGCUCAGAGCUCCAUUCUGGUAAGUCACGACUCAUAAUGAUCGCAUAAUGUCUAAAUGUUAAGCCUGAUCUCACAAGAAAACGUAAGUAUUUUAUGUUUUGUCAGUUUAGUGGCUAAUUCGUACGAGUUCAGUCGUACGAAAUUGUACGAUUUUAAAAAGGAGGCGUGGCACCUAACCCCACCCCUAAACCCAAUCGUCAUUGGGGGAUGAGCAAAUCGUACUAAAUCAUACAAAUUAGAUCGUACGAAUUCAAACGAAUUAGCCACUAAGUCAAAAAGUUACGAAUUGCUGUGAGAUUGUGUUGAAAUGUUUACAUUUAUGCCUUUCUUAGCUACUUAAGUACAAGCUAGCUCUAUUAAGAAAAAGAAAUCCAAGACUUUCAGUCCAAAAAUUUAAAAAACAAAACAUUUCAAUCAUGGCCAUCAUUACUAUUAAUUUAAAAUAAUUUCAACACUGUAAAUCGAUGCAUUUGGCCUUAAGUCUUCAGAGUUUGGCUAUAAUCAAUACAUAGCGUUAAUAUCAACAGGCGUAACGUUGGACAUUAUUAGUCAGUAAUGUUUAAUACAUAAAAAACGUAAAGGUACAGAGAUUCAAAGUAUGAAAUAAAUAAAUGACCAGUUAUGCUUCCUAGUAAUUCCUAAUAAUUUCCUUUACAUGUGAGAUCAGGAACCUUAGGCCCAUGUUUUCUGCCUUUUAACAUGUAAUAAUAAAAAUAAUAAUAGUAAUUAAUAUGUUCUGCUCUCCUUGCAGAUUUUCUCGAACGAGUCUCCUGUCACAACACACAUGUACAAACACAAACAUUUAACAAACCCAAAAGCACUUUUAAGAGCCAACAUCUAUCUAUCUAUCUAUCUAUCUAUCUAUCUAUCUAUCUAUCUAUCUAUCUAUCUAUCUAUCUAUCUAUCUAUCUAUCUAUCUAUCUAUCUAUCUAUCUAUCUCACUACCACUGUUUGUGUCUGUUAUAAUUGUCCAUCUGGCUGUUUGUCUAUCUGUCUGUUUCUGUUUGUGUUGCAAUGUCCACAAAACAUAAGGUUGACUUGCAGGACCCUCACUACCAAGAGGGAAGACGAAUGGCUCUUGAAAUGAAGCUGGACCACAUUCUAGCUGAAGCCAGGACAGCAGCUGUGCAGAGGGAACAUCCAUGCUCUGUACAAGAUGCUCCACAUGGCUCUAAAAGGAACAUGAAGUCAUGGCAAGCCAAGGGGGAGGCAAGGAGGACGGCGCCAUGCUUCAGCAACAGUCACACCCAUCCCUGUUGAGUGCUCAGUGUCAUCAAGUGUGGAGACUCCACUUACUGUACCCUCAGCAAAACUAAAUCCUCAAGAGCAAUUAGAAAAAAAUAUGGAGAGACUUUCUGACAUUUUAAUAUCAUAUCCUUCUGCUGAGCUUCAAAUAAGCUCUGCGGAUUCUUGGUCUUUUCGGCAACAGAAAGCAUCAGAGCGCUGGAAAGAACCAAGACCAUACAACCUCAAAUGCCUUAUUGAAAAAGAGGCAGUUGGUCAUCCUUUGUGUUGUCUUUGCCACGAGCCUGCUGUUAUUAGGUUGGUUUUCAUUCAUGUUGAACUGGGAAUAAACGGAUGACCGCAUGAUAAUUUGACCAAUGAUAAAUUGUGGACCAUGUGUAUAUGAACUUUCUUGGUUUAUUUCUUUAUUCGUCAUUCAAGUGCUAAACACUGAGCUACUAUGCGGUCCUAUAAAACAAAUUUAAAACUAACAUUUUCAUUAGGUGCAAAGACUGUCUUCCUGUGGAGUGGUUCUGUGGAGACUGUGAUGUACUGCAUCACAAAAAACAGCCACUCCACAACAGAGAAUGUGUUGUUCAUGGAUUUUUGGAAGCCAUUCUUCCAACCUCACAUGUUGUCAAAGGGGAAGAUGGAUAUUUGGAUAUUGCAUCUAUGAGGAAGGCAGAGGCGGACUGGGACAAAAAUUCAGCCCUGGCACUGUAGCCACACCAGCCCACAUUACCACACCGACACAGCCCCACCCAUGGACACGCACAUCCACACAUUAUAUUAGUGUACAGAUGGUGAAAUAAUAUACCCAGUGCCAAAUGUAAUAGAUAUUAAAACAUUUAAAUGUAUGUGACUGGAACAAAAACAACCUCUUUAUAAAAAAUGUAUACAUACAGUAAAAACUUAAUAAAAAAAUGUUUGUCUGCUAUUAUAUGAUAGAAGUAACCUUUGAAUGUGUCUCACGCACACACACACACACACACACACAGAGCUUUACACACAAAUGGACACGCAGCAUGUGCAAAAUGUCCUGUAUGUCCAAAGAAUUUUGUCAGUUGUUGUGUCUGAGUGAAAAAAGAAUUGAUGAAACUUGAGAGAUGUAAUCAUUAAAUGCAUUUUGUGCCAAAACAAUGAGAAUUGAUCCCUAGUUCAGCCCACAUAGACUUCUGUUGUGCUCACUGUGUCAAGAGUUUUGCAAAGGUGUCCUAUAUAGAGAAAUGUGUCCUAGCGUCUGUAAAAAACUUUAUUACACUUAAGUAAUAACAGUAGCACAAAAGGCAAUACAAUAUAUAACAAAAAAGCAGAAAUAUUUGUGUGUACUAGCAGAUUUGUACAUUUUUAAUCCUUCAUGAUAUAUAGCUUUUUUUGAUAUAAAGUAUGCUGAAGUGUUGCUAGUGCUGCAUCUCCAUUUGUGUGUGUGUGACACACAUUCACAGGCUACUCCUAUCAUAGGGGUUAAUUUAUCGUUAAUUAGCCACAGUCUUAAAAAGGCUUACAUGAGCUUUUAUUUUGAAGUGUUUCUGGCAAUCAGACAGUUUAUUCUUAUUUGUUUCGGGACCACACACACACACACCAACCUACAUGGAUACUCCGAAGUGAUGUUUAGCACUUGCAUGCUCAGUACUUGUUGGAAACUUUGUGGAAAAAGAAUAAAGAAUUCUGGAUUGAUUGCA